UGUUGAAAUUGAAAUGGUUAAGGUAAGGGUUAAGGAUAGGGUAGGGGUUAAGGUUAGGGUUUAGGCUAGGGACCCCCCAAGGAUCACGGACAGCACUAACGCUAGUUAUUAUGGUGUAACAUUUUGACAUGGAAACACACUUAUGAAAUAAAAUUUGCUGCUAAUCAAGGUAGAGCUCAUUGGCUACAUAUUUUCAACAUUGAUAUUGUAGUUUGAAAUAUCAGUAGAUUUCUAACUGAUGUACUGAUUGUGACCCUGAGGUCUCCCCUGAGGAGAAAGCAAAGGAGACCCAUCAGAAAGAGAAGAAGAAGAGCAUCCAUCCAGCUGUGGCAGCCCUGCAGCUGUUCACUCUCUUCUGCUGUGGUGGGAAAGUCAAGCUGAGGAAGACUCGUCCCUCUCAGAACAGACAGAGUAGAAAGGACCAGGACAAAGAUAAUGCAUCUGAUACUGGCUCGGACUUGUCUGGAGGUGAUGUUACAACCAAAAGGGUCAAGCACAAGAGUAAUGGAAAGGUGGGGAGGGAGAAAGACCGGACUGAAGUUCAGCUGUUGAAAUCAUCUCAAGACCACAAACCCAGAAGUACAACACCAGAAACAGACAAGGGAACUAAUUCGGGACAAAGACCUAACUCUAUAAAUCGAAGGACACCACGACAAGUGAAGACCCCUGUGGAGGAAAUUUACAUAAUACCUGACUCUCCGACUCUACAACGUGCCCACAGCUCCCUCUCCCAGUUAUCCCUGGCUAGGAACCUGGCCAUCCUCCCCCUGGAGUGGCAGCUACCUGGAGUCCCUCUGACCACCUCGUCUAUGGCAACUAGGACAGAGAGAAAGCCAUCCUCUACCAACAGUUCGACACAUGCACAGAUGGAAACACAGACAACAGAUAUGAACACAGACUCACAGACCACUGCCACCUCUCAGAGCCAGAUCUCCACGGUCUCAUCGGAGACCAUGAUAGAUGUUCACACGUCAGACUCCAUUACCCAGACCUCCACUCUUGACAUGGCACUGACCCCUGAGAGCACUAAGGACAUGAUCACUACUGAUGAGGAUGUGAAGGAUGACUCUGCUAAAGAUUUGAUCUCCACCCUAACAGACACCUCUAUGGAGAAAUCCAUCAGUGAGAUCAGCCUGAAAGACCUCAUCGCUGAGUAUGAAGAUGACAAUGAGCUGAAGGAUAUGGCUGCCUCCGCUAUCCCUGAUACUGAUAAUGCCAAUGAGGAUGCAAAGCUGCUGGAGCAUGCAGCACUUUAUGACUUCAUGUUGACAGUGGAGACCGAGCUGCCUCUGUAUCUCUGAAGAGUCAAUAGGCCUAAUGAACAUUUCAAUGUAGCAAAAGCUAUACUAUGAUCAAUUAAUAAAACAUUUUUUAUGCAGCAAAUUUUCACUACUGUU
rnacentral:lncRNA from 8 species